UAGACACCUGUAGAUCAUUAAAGUUGUCAUCAACUAAGCUCUAGCUCCAUUUUUACAUAUUCACUGUCCUAAUGCUGUUGGAAUAUGUAUAAUUUCUGUAGAAGGGUUUGCACCUGUUGAUUUAUUAUUCACUGUCCUAAUAUUUAGGUUUGCACCUUUUAACCUGUCUUAAGAAGGGUUUGCACCUGUCCUAAUGCUCCAUUUUUUCUUUUUUUUUUGUCUUUGUUUCCUUUCACUUUCGAUUUUACUUCGCGCUUCUUUCAUGUUAUUUAUUAGUUUAAUGAUCAAAUUUAGGGUGCAUCAAAAACCACCUCUAAUAGAACCUCUUAACAUAUUAUGUUUAUGAAAUUUUGUCUACCGUUUACCCAAUUGUAGAUAGUAGAUAUAGUCUCAUAAGAGGAAUCGCGGUGAUGUUGUAUUAUGAUAUUAUAUGCAUAUAUGGCUUUCUGUUGAGGUUGAGCAUAUGAUAUUAGGAUCACUGUUCUAAUGCUUUAGGUGAUUCUAGUUGCUAUGUUAAUCAUGCAGAAAAGUAUACGCAACUUGUUGCUAAGCAUUUUUAAGUUUAUGUUAUGUUGUUAUUGAUUGACUGCUGUCUUAUUUAUGCGCCCUCUGCCAUUGCUUGAGGCUCUUGGGAGAAUAAGUUAAGUGGCCUAAUAAUGUAAUGUCAGGUUCUUGCUGAAAAAGCUUAUCUUGUGGGUGUGGAGCGAAAAGGUAUUAAAGUGGAUUCUUUUGGAAUAGAAGAAUCUCUGAAAGAAUUGGCUCAACUAGCUGACACAGCAGGUCUUCAGGUUGUUGGCUCUACUUAUCAAAAGCUUGCUGCUCCAAAUCCAAGAACAUAUAUUGGCUCAGGCAAGGUUUCUGAGAUCAAGAGUGCAAUUCAUGCAUUUGAUGUUGAAACAGUGAUAUUUGAUGAUGACCUCUCACCAGGGUCCAAGCGGUUCUGACAGCGAGUCACUAGUAAAUAACCGCUUACAGUCUUGGGAUUGCUCCAGCCCUUCGUGUAUAGCACACACUCUUUUUGGAAUGGAUAUAUUUGAACAAAUAAAUUGCUAUAGUUGUCAUUUGGAGUCUAGGCAUAUGAAGUACACUUCUUUUUUUCAUCACAUUAAUGCCAGUGCCCUGCGAACAAUGAAGGUCUUUCUGCUACAAUGGAAGUCCGCAUAGUCUACUUUGAUAUCAUGAGACCAGCAGAACAGCAGUAGCAGUGCAGAACCAGGACAACAGUACCAGUGCAGACAGAAGACACACAGCAGCCAGAAACCUUGGACACUUUAAAUUAUUUUUUGGACGAAAAUUGUAAUAUUUUAGCCUUUUU